UACGGGUGGGUGUGCAUCAAGCUGCUUCGUUGCCGGCGGCGAGUAAUCUCGCACAUGUUUAUGGCGCAUAUGUACCAGAAAAUUCAAAUGGUUCUGAUCAUACGUGCGAGGGGAAUCAGGUAGGGCUUGAUGCGCCUUUCAUACGAAAUGUUGAUGAGAAUUACCCAAGUAGUCCAGAUGCAUGUCAGGUUGUUCGCUUGGUCUGCGCCAACGAGCAUCUAAUACAAGUCAUCAUCUCUCUCUUCG